AAUCAUGGAGUGGGGCUGGCCAGGACCAGGACUGAGAGAGGAGAUGAGGACCCAGACGCCGACCGAAGACCGCAUGGAGGCACAGACAGGAGGGUGGCCACUUACAAGCCAAGGAGCCAGGCCUUAGAAGAAGCCAAUUCUGCUGAUACCUUCGUCUUGGACUUCUGGGAUCCGGAACUGUGAGAAAGAAUAUUUCUGUUAUUUGAGACCUCCAUCUGUGGUAUAUUGUUACGGUAGCCCUAGCAAACUCGUAUAGAUUUUUGAUACCAGGAAGUGGAAUGCUGCUCUAAAAAAUAUGCAAAAAUGUGGAAGUGGAUAAUGAGUAGAGGCUGGAAGAGUUUGGAGGUACAUGCUGCAAAGGCCUAGAUGGUCUUCUUUGUGUGUUUAAUUUUUUGGUCAAAAAUAUUUUAAUUGUUUUUCAAA